ensembl:lncRNA
CGGGGUUCGCCGCCCCAGCGCCGGCCGAGGGGUUUCCCCGCCCGCUGCGUGCGCUGGUUCGCGUUCCGGAACUGACUGCGCAUCCAGGAUGUCUUCUUGACCAGGGCCAGCCACAGAGUUCAAGUGAUGGCUUCCAUAUAUGAUGAACUGACCCAUCCACCAACCAGUGUGACUGAGCAUAAGCAGAGGAGCUCACCAGGCUUCCUGAGCAUCUUGCAGGAGCUGAACUCCCCCAGAACGGUGGCCACAGACAACAGCAUUUUGAUUCUGUGCUUGGGAGGCAGUGUGUAGAGAGCACACAGACACAGUGUAUGUGAUGGGUAUAUUUCUGCAACUUUAUGUCACCUGGGCAGAUGCUUCUAUGCAGGCAAUAGAAAAGUGGAGUUUAGCUAGUUUGCAUCAAAUUGGAUUCCACUGGGAAUGGAACUAUCUUCCAUUGGGUUGGAUUCAUUACUCUUGCCUUAACCAUAUUUACCUUCAG